rnacentral:rRNA from 1 species
CUGGGAGGCGUCGAGCGGCGGACGGGUGAGUAAUGCAUGGGAAUCUGCCCGGUAGAGGGGGAUAGCCCGGGGAAACCCGGAUUAAUACCGCAUACGCCCUACGGGGGAAAGCAGGGGAUCUUCGGACCUUGCGCUAUCGGAUGAGCCCAUGUCGGAUUAGCUAGUUGGUGGGGUAAAGGCCUACCAAGGCGACGAUCCGUAGCUGGUCUGAGAGGAUGAUCAGCCACACUGGGACUGAGACACGGCCCAGACUCCUACGGGAGGCAGCAGUGGGGAAUAUUGGACAAUGGGGGCAACCCUGAUCCAGCCAUGCCGCGUGUGCGAUGAAGGCCUUCGGGUUGUAAAGCACUUUCAGUGGUGAGGAAAGGCGCAGUGCUAAUAUCACUGCGAGUUGACGUUAGCCACAGAAGAAGCACCGGCAAACUCCGUGCCAGCAGCCGCGGUAAUACGGAGGGUGCGAGCGUUAAUCGG